AGUGAACGCUGGCGGUAGGCCUAACACAUGCAAGUCGAACGGCAGCACAGUAAGAGCUUGCUCUUACGGGUGGCGAGUGGCGGACGGGUGAGGAAUACAUCGGAAUCUACUUUUUCGUGGGGGAUAACGUAGGGAAACUUACGCUAAUACCGCAUACGACCUACGGGUGAAAGCAGGGGAUCUUCGGACCUUGCGCGAUUGAAUGAGCCGAUGUCGGAUUAGCUAGUUGGCGGGGUAAAGGCCCACCAAGGCGACGAUCCGUAGCUGGUCUGAGAGGAUGAUCAGCCACACUGGAACUGAGACACGGUCCAGACUCCUACGGGAGGCAGCAGUGGGGAAUAUUGGACAAUGGGCGCAAGCCUGAUCCAGCCAUACCGCGUGGGUGAAGAAGGCCUUCGGGUUGUAAAGCCCUUUUGUUGGGAAAGAAAAGCAGCAGGUUAAUACCCCGCUGUUCUGUCGGUACCCAAAGAAUAAGCACCGGCUAACUUCGU
rnacentral:rRNA from 1 species